rnacentral:rRNA from 1 species
GACGAACGCUGGCGGCGUGCUUAACACAUGCAAGUCGAACGAAGUGGCGCACGGGAGAGUAACGCGUAAUCAAUCUGCCCUUCAGAGGGGGACAACAGUUGGAAACUACUGCUAAUACCGCAUACUGAAGUAGGUGAUUGCGUCGGAUUAGCUAGUUGGAGGGGAAACGGCCCACCAAGGCGAUGAUCAGUAGCCGGUCUGAGAGGAUGAACGGCCACAUUGGGACUGAGACACGGCCCAGACUCCUACGGGAGGCAGCAGUGGGGAAUCUUCCGCAAUGGACGAAAGUCUGACGGAGCAACGCCGCGUGAGUGAUGACGGCCUUCGGGUUGUAAAGCUCUGUUGAUCGGGACGCGGUACCGGAAUAGAAAGCCACGGCUAACUACGUGCCAGCAGCCGCGGUAAUUC